UACAUAUAUGUUAUUUACCGGCUGCGAGGUCCGGAUGAGAAAAACUGUGCCCGAAGUCUUGAAAACGGCCCGAGCCCGAAGGGCGAGGGACGUUUUCAAGACCGAGGGCACAGUUUUUCUCAUCCGGACCGACGCUGCCGGUAAAUAACGUGUUUAUU